UACGUAGGUGGCAAGCGUUGUCCGGAUUUAUUGGGUUUAAAGGGUGCGUAGGCGGCCCUGUAAGCCAGUGCUGAAAUAUCCCGGCUUAACCGGGAGGGUGGCAUUGAUACUGCGGGGCUUGAGUACAGAUGAAGUCGGCGGAAUUGACGGUGUAGCGGUGAAAUGCAUAGAUAUCGUCAAGAACACCGAUAGCGAAGGCAGCUGACUAAGUUGUAACCGACGCUGAGGCACGAAAGUGUGGGGAUCAAACAGG
rnacentral:rRNA from 1 species